rnacentral:sRNA from 13 species
CUUAAAAAAUCUGGAUCCUCCUGAAUAUUGAAACACUAAACAAAAAAAGUAGUUCAUAAGGCACUCACAUUUGCGCAAUGCGAAGAUUUAUCCUAUGAAAAAUCUGCUG